UGGGGAAUAUUGCACAAUGGGCGCAAGCCUGAUGCAGCAACGCCGCGUGAACGAUGAAGGUCUUCGGAUCGUAAAGUUCUGUUGCAGGGGAAGAUAAUGACGGUACCCUGUGAGGAAGCCCCGGCUAACUACGUGCCAGCAGCCGCGGUAAUACGUAGGGGGCUAGCGUUAUCCGGAAUUAUUGGGCGUAAAGCGCGCGCAGGUGGUUUAGAAAGUCUGAUGUGAAAGCCCACGGCUCAAUCGUGGAGGGUCAUUGGAAACUAAUAAACUUGAGUGCAGGAGAGAAAAGUGGAAUUCCUAGUGUAGCGGUGAAAUGCGUAGAGAUUAGGAGGAACACCGGUGGCGAAAGCGGCUUUUUGGCCUGCAACUGACACUGAGGCGCGAAAGCGUGGGGAGCAAACAGG
rnacentral:rRNA from 1 species